UCAAACUUAGUUCCGGACCGGGGGUUUUCCCCCUUUUGCCUUUUUCUGUCCAUGAAAGCAAAAUAUUCAGUUGCCAUCUCUCCUUCCAUCCGCCUCAAUGUCUUUCUUACUGAUGAACACCGUUUUUAAUAUUGUCCAAGGUUCUAAGCACUUCAUCUUCUUCUCUGAAAAAGGUUCUUGAUAGUGAAAUCUGCUCGUAGGGGAAAAGAGAAGACAGUACGACUACACAAGGUUGAUAGAGCUUUUCUUGAAAAUCCAAGGACAAGACACAUUUUAAAGGUGUGAGCAGUGCUUCUUUGACAGGUAAGUGUAUGAGUUUCUUCUACAGUUCUUUAGUUUAGAAGUAGGUAUAUAGAAGUAGGUGUUAAGUCUAGGUUUAGAUAGGUAUUGUUUAUUCCAUUCGUAAAAUGCAUUUAUAUAGAUGUAGCUUCAGCCAUCAGCACCUUCUGGGGUAGUAGAGAAAACUCUCUGAACAAGAUAUCUAUCCGUGACCCAUUAGUGGACUUGGUUCUUUGGGGAAAAAAGAUUCACUCUCAACCAUGAGGGACUUUACCUGUGUCAAAUGGGACAUAUCAAGGGAAGCCUUUUGGUUGGUUCCACCGUAAACAUUAUUAGAUGAACCUAGAGACACAAUUUCUGUGGUUAACCUAUGAUAAUAUUUUUCUACUGGCACCAUUUCUAGAAUGAGACCUAUCCUUUAAAAGAAUUGGAAGCAUUGAUAUUCUUCGUUUUCUUCUCCUCUCCUUUUUCUCAUUAUUUGCUUGUAGUAUAAAUUGGUACCUUAUGCUUUAUGGCUAUUGACAUUUGAUAGUUUCUUUUUCAUUCUUGAGCUACCAAUAUUCUUCUCAGAGAAAGAAGAAGACCAAUCACAUCAUGAAGAAUGCAUCACAUUUUGUCAACAUGUAAAUGGAGUACUCUUAACGGAAGCAGCUGAAGACUGUACUGAGUUGCAAAUACAAAUUUUAUGUCUUGUACAGCAUAUGAAGUUGUAAUAUCUUAAUAUUUAAUUAGAAUUAUAGUAUUAAUUCCUUUCAGUAAUCUUGCUAAAGUGCUAAACAAUUGACACAAGUAUGGAAUUAUCUUCUUCACUUUUGGUAA